rnacentral:rRNA from 1 species
GAUGAACGCUGGCGGCGUGCUUAACACAUGCAAGUCGAACGGAAAGGCCCAAGCUUGCUUGGGUACUCGAGUGGCGAACGGGUGAGUAACACGUGGGUGAUCUGCCCUGCACUUCGGGAUAAGCCUGGGAAACUGGGUCUAAUACCGGAUAGGACGAUGGUUUGGAUGCCAUUGUGGAAAGUUUUUUCGGUGUGGGAUGAGCUCGCGGCCUAUCAGCUUGUUGGUGGGGUAAUGGCGUACCAAGGCGUCGACGGGUAGCCGGCCUGAGAGGGUGUACGGCCACAUUGGGACUGAGAUACGGCCCAGACUCCUACGGGAGGCAGCAAUGGGGAAUAUUGCACAAUGGGCGCAAGCCUGAUGCAGCGACGCCGCGUGGGGGAUGACGGCCUUCGGGUUGUAAACUCCUUUCGCUAGGGACGAAGCGUUUUUGUGACGGUACCUGGAGAAGAAGCACCGGCUAACUACGUG